AUUGAACGCUGGCGGCAGGCCUAACACAUGCAAGUCGAACGAGUGGCGGACGGGUGAGUAAUGUCUGGGAAACUGCCCGAUGGAGGGGGAUAACUACUGGAAACGGUAGCUAAUACCGCAUACCAUCGGAUGUGCCCAGAUGGGCUUAGCUAGUAGGUGGGGUAAAGGCUCACCUAGGCGACGAUCCCUAGCUGGUCUUAGAGGCUGACCAGCCACACGGGAACUAGGAACCGGUCCAGACUCCUACGGGAGGCAGCAGUGGGAAAUAUUGCACAAUGGGCGCAAGCCUGAUGCAGCCAUGCCGCGUGUAUGAAGAAGGCCUUCGGGUUGUAAAGUACUUUCAGCGAGGAGGCGUUACUCGCAGAAGAAGCACCGGCUAACUCCGUGCCAGCAGCCGCGGUAAUUC
rnacentral:rRNA from 1 species